GCAGCCUGGCAUUCAUCUCCCUCAGCCACAUCCCAGAGAAUUGAAUUAAAAUCCGUAUUUUUCAGCUGCUGUCCGCCUGGCUGGCUGGCUGGCUGUCUUGUGGAAAGGCACUGAGUACCUCAAGGUCGGUAAAGACUGCUGAGGAGACCCUCCAGCCUCCCUCCUGAGAGAGGAAGAAUAAGAGGUCCCCGCUGGGGUCAACAAGGCAGAGGACACAUAGCAUCUGCUCAGUCAUCUCUGUCCCAGUCACCACAGGGCGCGUGGCAAGCAGCAGAGCAGAGCACAGGAAGCACAGCUCUUCUCCUAGAUGUGGCAGGGUCCGCCAUGCAGAUUCUCCCUUCUCCUUCCCUGCCACUCUGCCUGGCAGUCACCCUGGGCUUCAAGCUCGCCCAGCCAGAGGCUGCCUCCACUGUCCCCACCAGGGAAGCUCCCCAAGGCUGAAACCUUGGCCUGACACUAAUCCUCUCUGUGAAGUCCAGCCACAUCACAAAUGCUCACAGCUGCCAGGGAACCCCCGUGGCAUCUUCUGCUUCCUCUCUUUGCAGCCACUGCACUUGGAUGGACCUCACCUUGUUCAUCUGUCAGCAAGAAAAGCUCAGCUGAAGCAUUUGUUAAGUUUCUUGUGGAAUGUCAGAGCGGUUUUGGUGAUGCACCUUUUAUUUUAUUUUUAUUUUUUUAAUUAAAAUUUUAUUAUAUUUA